rnacentral:rRNA from 1 species
GGACUACAGGGGUAUCUAAUCCUGUUUGCUCCCCACGCUUUCGCACCUCAGCGUCAGUAUCUGCCCAGAUCGCCGCCUUCGCCACUGGUGUUCCUCCCGAUAUCUACGAAUUUCACCUCUACACCGGGAAUUCCGCGAUCCUCUUCAGUACUCAAGCCUUGCAGUUUCCGAUGCACUUCCUCAGUUGAGCUGAGGGAUUUCACGUCAGACUUGCAAAGCCGCCUACGUGCGCUUUACGCCCAAUGAUUCCGAGCAACGUUUGCACCCUUCGUAUUACCGCGGCUGCUGGCAC